UGGGGAAUAUUGCACAAUGGGCGAAAGCCUGAUGCAGCGACGCCGCGUGAGGGAUGACGGCCUUCGGGUUGUAAACCUCUUUCAGCAGGGAAGAAGCGAAAGUGACGGUACCUGCAGAAGAAGCGCCGGCUAACUACGUGCCAGCAGCCGCGGUAAUACGUAGGGCGCAAGCGUUGUCCGGAAUUAUUGGGCGUAAAGAGCUCGUAGGCGGUUAGUCGCGUCUGCUGUGAAAACUCGAGGCUCAACCUCGGGCUUGCAGUGGGUACGGGCUGACUAGAGUGCGGUAGGGGUGACUGGAAUUCCUGGUGUAGCGGUGGAAUGCGCAGAUAUCAGGAGGAACACCGAUGGCGAAGGCAGGUCACUGGGCCGCAACUGACGCUGAGGAGCGAAAGCAUGGGGAGCGAACAGGAUUAGAUACCCUGGUAGUCCAUGCCGUAAACGUUGGGCACUAGGUGUGGGGUCCAUUCCACGGAUUCCGUGCCGCAGCAAACGCAUUAAGUGCCCCGCCUGGGGAGUACGGCCGCAAGGCUAAAACUUAAAUGAAUUGACGGGGUC
rnacentral:rRNA from 1 species